ACUGAACCCAUACCUAACACACCCAGUCCACGCCGACCAGGUGGGCUUCAUACCUGGAUGACAGUUAUUCAAAAAUACGAGACGAAACAUAGACAUACUAUGGAUGCUAGCAGCCGCGAAAACACCAUCACUAGCAUUCUCCCUAGACGCAGAAAAAGCGUUCGACAGGGUAAAGUGGCCCUGUAUCUUUGCACUCUUAGAACACCUAAACAUGCCCCCCCCCCCAUAUAUUACAGCUGUACGCGCACUAUACAC